rnacentral:rRNA from 1 species
UGCAGUCGAGCGAGACCUUCGGGUCUAGCGGCGGACGGGUUAGUAACGCGUGGGAACGUACCCUUUUCUAAGGAAUAGCCACUGGAAACGGUGAGUAAUGCCUUAUACGCCCUUCGGGGGAAAGAUUUAUCGGAGAAGGAUCGGCCCGCGUAAGAUUAGAUAGUUGGUGGGGUAACGGCCUACCAAGUCUACGAUCUUUAGCUGGUUUGAGAGGAUGAUCAGCAACACUGGGACUGAGACACGGCCCAGACUCCUACGGGAGGCAGCAGUGGGGAAUCUUAGACAAUGGGCGCAAGCCUGAUCUAGCCAUGCCGCGUGAGUGAUGAAGGCCUUAGGGUCGUAAAGCUCUUUCGCCUGUGAAGAUAAUGACUGUAGCAGGUAAAGAAACCCCGGCUAACUCCGUGCCAGCAGCCGCGGUAAUACGGAGGGGGUUAGCGUUGUUCGGAAUUACUGGGCGUAAAGCGCGCGUAGGCGGAUUAUUAAGUGAGGGGUGAAAUCCCAGGGCUCAACCCUGGAACUGCCUCUCAUACUGGUAGUCUUGAGUUCGA